rnacentral:lncRNA from 1 species
UUUUUGGGACGUCGCUUCGAUUAUUAUUUUAUAGUAAUAAAAUAUUAAGAGAAAAAGACAAAAAUAGCACUAAAUCAAGUUUAUGUUCCCAAACUAGCAUUCAAGGUCAAAAGUCACAAAAAUAGCACUUAAUGUUUUAUCAAAAGUCACAAACUUAGGGUUUAGAUUUAAAGGAUGGGGUUUAGGAUUUAUGGUUUAGGGUUUAGGGUUUAGAGUUUAGGGUUUAGGGUUUAGAUUUUAGGGUUUAGGGUUUAGAUUUUAGGGUUUAGGGUUUAGAGUUUAAGGUUUAGGGUUUAUGGUUUAGGGUUUAGGGUUUAGGGUUUAGAGUUUAGGGUUUAGGGUUUAGGGUUUAGAGUUUAGAGUUUAGGGUUUA